rnacentral:rRNA from 1 species
UACGUAGGUGGCGAGCGUUGUCCGGAUUUAUUGGGCGUAAAGCGCGCGCAGGUGGUCCGUUAAGUCCUGUGUGAAAUCUCCCGGCUCACCCGGGAGGGGGCGCGGGAUACUGGGGGACUGGAGGCAGGCAGAGGCCGGUGGAAUUCCCGGUGUAGUGGUGAAAUGCGUAGAGAUCGGGAGGAACACCAGUGGCGAAGGCGGGUCUCUGGGCAGUAACUGACGCUGAGGAGCGAAAGCGUGGGGAGCGAACAGG